rnacentral:tRNA from 1 species
UAUGAUGUGGCUCAGUGGUAGAGUGCUCACCUAGCAUGCAUGAAGCCCUGGGUUCAAUCCUCAGCACCACAU